AACGAUGGACGCCCGCCGUGGGGGAGUAUUUUUCCGCGGCCAAGCGAAAGCGUUAAGCGUCCCACCUGGGGAGUACGCCGGCAACGGUGAAACUCAAAGGAAUUGACGGGGGCCCGCACAAGCGGAGGAACAUGUGGUUUAAUUCGAUGAUACGCGAGGAACCUUACCCGGGCUUGAAUUGCAGGAGAACGAUCCGGAGACGGAGAGGCCCUUCGGGGCUCCUGUGAAGGUGCUGCAUGGCUGUCGUCAG
rnacentral:rRNA from 1 species